rnacentral:rRNA from 1 species
AAUCAACGCUGGCGGCGUGCCUCAGACAUGCAAGUCGAACGAUUAAGACUCUCUUCGGAGAGUGCAUAAAGUGGCGCACGGGUGAGUAACACGUAAGUAAUCUACCUUUGGGUGGGGAAUAACAGUCGGAAACGACUGCUAAUACCGCAUAAUGCAGCGGCUCCUUAUGGAGACAGUUGUUAAAGAUUUAUCGCCUAAAGAGGAGCUUGCGGCAGAUUAGCAGUGUAGGUAACGGC